rnacentral:rRNA from 1 species
AUUGAACGCUGGCGGCAGGCUUAACACAUGCAAGUCGAGCGGAGAUGAGGUGCUUGCACCUUAUCUUAGCGGCGGACGGGUGAGUAAUGCUUAGGAAUCUGCCUAUUAGUGGGGGACAACAUUCCGAAAGGAGUGCUAAUACCGCAUACGCCCUACGGGGGAAAGCAGGGGAUCUUCGGACCUUGCGCUAAUAGAUGAGCCUAAGUCGGAUUAGCUAGUUGGUGGGGUAAAGGCCUACCAAGGCGACGAUCUGUAGCGGGUCUGAGAGGAUGAUCCGCGACACUGGGACUGAGACACGGCCCAGACUCCUACGGGAGGCAGCAGUGGGGAAUAUUGGACAAUGGGCGGAAGCCUGAUCCAGCCAUGCCGCGUGUGUGAAGAAGGCCUUUUGGUUGUAAAGCACUUUAAGCGAGGAGGAGGCUACCUGGAUUAAUACUCUAGGAUAGUGGACGUUACUCGCAGAAUAAGCACCGGCUAACUCUGUGCCAGCCGCCGCGGUAACAC